rnacentral:rRNA from 1 species
UACGUAGGGGGCAAGCGUUGUCCGGAAUCAUUGGGCGUAAAGCGCGUGUAGGCGGCCCGGUAAGUCCGCUGUGAAAGUCGGGGGCUCAACCCUCGAAUGCCGGUGGAUACUGUCGGGCUAGAGUGCGGGAGAGGCGAGUGGAAUUCCUGGUGUAGCGGUGAAAUGCGCAGAUAUCAGGAGGAACACCAAUUGCGAAGGCAGCUCGCUGGAACGUAACUGACGCUGAGACGCGAAAGCGUGGGUAGCAAACAGG